rnacentral:lncRNA from 1 species
UAGAUUUGGAAAUCUCUGUCUACGUGUAUGAAAGGAGGGAAGCAGCUAUAAAUUAGAAGGGAGAUAGGAAAGUGAAGAUAUUUACUAGACUCUGCCUUUGCUUGCAGUUCUCUGGCUUGAUUGAGGAGGUUCUCACUUUCAUCUUUAUGGAAACUGUCAAAGGAACUGGCAUUUGCUGACUGGACUACAGCACAUCUCGAAGAAUCUGCAGACCGAAACCUUCAAGGCACUCAUGAAAUGGUCUUUCCUUAGUUCCCCUGCCCUUUCCACUCUUUCUGCCAUUUGGAUUUCACACUGGAAGUUCAAGAGAUGACAUCAGAAAACAGAAAAGCCAGUGGGAAAGGCAAGGGGAGAUUUGGAAGAGUGUUUGAAAAUUUUGGCAAUCAAGAAUAAGAAGGUGGGUGUUGAAAUCAAAUAGUUCCUGCUGGGCACUGUGGAGUAUUUAUCAGAAGUCAGUUAUAUUGCCAAUUCCCGACCAGCUUUACUUAAGACACUUGGGUGUGGAAAGAUAAUGCUGUCUAUGAAAUAAAU